UAAUCGGUCGGCUUCGGUUCUCACACCAAUUUUUGUGCAUCUUUAUCCGAUUUAUGCAAUUCUUCCUGCUGAGUUAAUAAGGUCCAAUAUAUGUUGCACCAUGGGCCGUGACCAGUAUACCCUCUGCAGCCCAUGGCCCGUAUUUCGCAUUUGCAAAUUUCAAUUCUGAAGGACGCUAUAAGUAUAAACACCGUUACAGACCACAGGCAAACCAAAAUUGGGGAUCUGAAGAAAAGAUGUUCGGAAAAACAAACGAGGCUCCGGCGAGGGAGUAGGGGAGUUUUUAAAGGGUUGUUGCCCCUCUCUUGCCACAACAUCAUCAUGUUGAGCCGCUUGUUACCCGUUUCCCUUUUACUUCGAUGAUGAGAUGUUGCUGCUGCUGCUGUUGUAGUUACAUUAGAAAAGGCUGUGACGAUGGAAAUUGUUUUGAGCAAAAUCAGAAUUUACCGAUCGGAUCCGUAUCUUGGCUAGGCAAAAUCAGAAAAUCUACUGUGAUUGCAGCCAUGGCGGAUUUCAACAAUAAAUUCUGACGAUAACAUAUCUGAGCCUCAAAACCUAUAUCCUUGGAGAUAAGAACAUCUAUCUCUACCUAGAGGUGCACGUUUCGGGUAUUUUUUUUUUCCAAACCGCUUCGGUUUGGGUCAACAACAGUCAAAACCGGCCCUUGGAGAAACCCUUUAAUAGGUGGAAAAGGAUUGUUUUGGUUUGAAACUGGUUCUGGCUCGGCUCUAACCAGCUCCAAGCCACUUUCAUAAUCGGUUUCUCAAACCCUUUUAGAGGCGAUGUAGAAUUUGUCGGUGUCCGAGUGAAUCCGAGUGAAUGGAACGAAGGUUGAAACAGAGCGUAUCUUGGCGGGGUAAUAUCCGGCUGUUGAAGUAGCCGCGAUGUUUGCAGCCAUGGCGGUUUGUUCUUUCUUCUCACUAUUUACAUAUCUGAGCCUCUCUUAAUUCGACAACAGCUUAUGAUUAUAAUAUAAUAAAAUCUGAGGUGUUUGUGUUAUAUUGUGUUUUGAAUUUUGAUCAAGCAAAUGAGGAUUUCGUCUGUCUCAGUUUUCUGCUUUUAAUUGUGUGAAAAGUAGGAGGCUGUGAUGAUAUAAUGUAGUGAGCAAAAGCGGUGUUUGUGGAUCUAAUCUGUAUUUUUUUGUUUUUUUUUAACUAGAGUGGGUUUAAAAGCCGGUUCUUAUUUGGUCAACAAAGUUGAAAUCGGAUUAAACCCGAAACAGUUUUAGAUGGCAAUUGUUGUAUGUGGAGGUUGAUAUUCACUUGCAACUGUGAUUGCAGCCAUGGCAGAUUUCAGCAAUUCAAGUUCCAUUGCAACAUAUCUGAGCCUUUUAAAUGUUUGUGCAAAGUUUGAUUAUCAUACUAAUUGUAUACGUAAGUUUACUACAGUUUUGAAUUAUGUUCGUGCAAAGUUUGAUUAUCAUACUAAUUGUAUACGUAAGUUUACUACAGUUUUUUUUCUGACUGGUGCAAGCAUGGGUCUGUUUAAAUGUUUCACGGUCUGACUGGUGCAAGCUCGGCUUCGGCAAUUUUUUUAACUACAAUAUGCUGUUUGCAUUCUGUAUUAGUUUCUUGCUUUUUUUUUCUUUCUAUUUUGUUUUGCUUCAGCUCCCCGUCGUAGCAUAUUUUUGCCUUGGUUUUGAAUAUUUUUGGUGAAAAGGACAAGUGUGUAUGGUUCGUUGACCAGGGAGAGGCUUCUCAACAAGAUCCUUGAGGCUGCUAAUUGAGAACAAAAUUUGCUCGCAUUACAAUUCAUAUGGAACAAAUUAAACAUGUUUGGGGGCGGUAUUAAACAUGCUUCCGACAAACGUAUCGUUAGUAAAUUAGGGUAGGGUUAUCUCUUCUACACUGUGUCCUUUUUGUGGAGUUACCCCCGAAGAGGUCGAUCACCUUUUUUAUCAAUUGUGGACUGGUGAGUGAUUUGUGGCGACAGGUUUUAUUGUGGUGCAAAAUUCCCAUAUUCUGCGCAGCCUUAACAAGGGAGUGGGUCGAUUACCAUCUUUCAUAUGAAAUCACAUUGGAAGCUUCUUUGAAUCUUCGAGCAGUUUUUCCUUACAGUCUUGUGGCGUUGGGGAACAAGGAAUGACCAAGUUUUUAAUAAUGAGAACUCUAUGAAAUCACAUUAGAAGAGGCUGAAACUAUGUCUUCUCUUUAUAGAUCAAAUACAGUGGAAAUUUAAUCUCAUUAGAUUGGGCUUGCUACUUUGCUUAAUGUGUAAUUGUGUACUCUUUUCUAGUUUCUAGCUCCUGGCUAGAACCUGUUCGUCAUCUAUCGGCUUAUCACUACUUUCUGGUACAAUUGGGCGGCGAGGAAGGCGAUGGUUGAAGCGUCGACAUGUGUGGCGGUGAUGGAGAAGCUUUGAUCUAAUGACUUUCAGGUGACGAAGAGAAAAAGUGGUGCUGGUGACUUGAGAACAUGGGAUGGCGAGGACCAAGAUGACGACGGUGUUAAAAGUAUACUUUUUCCGGCAACCAUUGGACCAAUCAAACAAGAUCUUGGUUUUCAACAAUUCAUCAGAUUUACCGUGAACCCUCUUGACGUACCUCCCAUCCAUUGCCGUCAGCCCUCACCAUCAUUCAACCUUUUUUAUGUUACUUGAGAUAUCAAGGUGAAGCGUAGAAGAAAUUUUACAACUCUAGCUUGGGAUGAUUGGUUUAAGUUCAACGGUUGUGCUAAACUACGAUUUUCUUUGUGUGUGUUUUUUUUACCGAAUGUAUUAUCUUCAUCCUACUAAAUCAAUAACAUCAUUUCUCCAACUUUAUUCAUAGGAGAUGCGUUCAACAUAAAUGGAAGAUAGAUUUAGCCUCA